GCACCCCUUUGUUCUUUUCCCUUUCACUCCUCAUCUCCAUUUUCAGCUAAAGGUUUUCUUUCCUUUAGCCAUACACAGACCUGUAGUGCCAUCUUGGUACAAGUCUUCACCUCUUUCUUCUGCAAGCAUGAGCGCCUCUCCCCGUCUCUCACCCCUUUCCCCUUGAAGCAGAGAUUUCAACAUCCCUCAACCAUGGCAGCCUUAAUCUUUCCGUUUGAAGCAAAGGAAUCUGUCCUUUGUACCCGAGACUGAAGCCUUGUGAAGAUUUUUCCAUUUCACACUUCAUAACGCAUGAGAUCCUUUCAAAUUUCAAACGAAAUCUCACUAUUUUAGUGAGGGAUCCGAAGUGUACCUCAGAAAUUGGUACGUUUUUUUUUAACGGGUGUCUUGACUCGAUUUUGAAUACCAAGUAUCUAAGAUCUCGCCCAAAAUCUAAAAAAAACCUAGCUCGCCCCUAUAAAUUCUAGCAUUUUUCUACUUAUUUGGGAGAGGUUGGAAACCCGCCGAAAUUCCCUAAAAAAUUAGAGUCUUUUUUUAGCCGUCUUGAAUCACCUAUGAAAUAAGUCUUCAGCCGCCCAAAACUUCUCCCGAAAUAUUAAUUUUAGUAGUUACAAUCUUUUCUUGAUAUUAAGUCAUUUUCCUGUUUUGUUGUCUCUGGAAUUACUUCGCGUUCGAGUGUAUACGAGUUCGAGUUCGUGGUGUUCGAGUAGAUAUCGGAACCUUCACCUCACUUCACUGCACCCGAAGAAGGAUUCGUUCUUCUUCCGCAUUCGAUGUUGGGCCAAGGCCCAAUGAAACAACCUUCUCUCUUUGUCCAGCCCCUGUCUGCAGCAAAGAAAAAAUAGAAAGACAUAAAAUUUUCUGGGCCAAAGCCCAAUGGCAGUAGUGAUCAUAAUAGCCUUAAAAUAGGCUGAGUCCAUUCCCGAUUGCAGCAACCUUUUAAAAUGAGCUGGGCUCAUUUAAACUAUAUCUACUCCUUUAUUUUAUUUUUGUGCAUUUAACUUGUAUUAUGUGACUAACUUUUUAUUUUGUUUUUAUUUUCUUAAUUUAGGUGAAUCUUAGCGAAUUUAGGGGGUUAGCCUUAGUAUAAUGGGUAGUAAGUUUAUGAGAGAAACUCACAAUUAAUACUAUAAAUUUCAUUUUCUUCUU